AGAAAGAACGCUGGAACUGCUAAUUCCACAUUCCACGGCUAAGCGUGGCUUUCUU
rnacentral:tRNA from 1 species